AUUGAACGCUGGCGGCAGGCCUAACACAUGCAAGUCGAACGAGUGGCGGACGGGUGAGUAAUGUCUGGGACACUGCACGAUGGAGGGGGAUAACUACUGGAAAAGGUAGAAAAUACAGCACAACAUAGGAUGUGCCCAGAUGGGAUUAGAUAGUAGGUGGGGUAACGCCUCACCUAGGCGAAGAUCCCUAGCUGGUGUGAGAGGAUGACCAGCCACACUGGAACUGAGACACGUACAAGACUCCUUCGGGAGGCCGCAUUGGGGAAUAGUGCACAAUGCGCGCAAGCCUGAUGCAGCCAUGGCGGGUGUAUGAAGAAGGCCUUAGGGUUGUAAAGUACUUUCAGCGAGGAGGCGUUACUCGCAGAAGAAGCACCGGCUAACUCCGUGCCAGCAGCCGCGGUAAUAC
rnacentral:rRNA from 1 species